rnacentral:rRNA from 1 species
UACAGAGGGUGCAAGCGUUAAUCGGAAUUACUGGGCGUAAAGCGUGCGUAGACGGUUAUGUAAGUCAGAUGUGAAAGCCCCGGGCUCAACCUGGGAAUUGCAUUUGAGACUGCAUAGCUAGGGUGCGGAAGAGGGAAGCGGAAUUUCCGGUGUAGCGGUGAAAUGCGUAGAUAUCAGGAGGAACACCGGUGGCGAAGGCGGGUCUCUGGGCCGAUACUGACGCUGAGGAGCGAAAGCGUGGGGAGCGAACAGG